GUUUGAAAGAGCUGAGGAGAGCAUGAAAGGGCACCUCCAGGACAUGCAGAAGCAGAUCCCCAGGAAGCUGGAGGAGGACUUUUCCAGCGCUCUCGGCUUGGUCUUUUGCCCGUGGGACCAGCUGGACGGCAAGCUGCCAGACUUGCAGAGAGAAUUUUUCACCAUCAGCAACAUUCACAAGGCCCUGCAAUCAGCCAAAGUCGCUUAGAGAGCCGCGGGAAUUGUCUCCGACGAUGUGGUUUUAUUAUUCACGUUGGUGCCUUGUUCUUGUAAUAAAUGGCUCAGUCCCAAA